rnacentral:rRNA from 1 species
UACGGAGGGUGCAAGCGUUAUCCGGAUUUACUGGGUUUAAAGGGUGCGCAGGCGGAUAUGUAAGUCAGUGGUGAAAUCUUCCCGCUUAACGGGAAAACUGCCGUUGAUACUAUAUAUCUUGAAUGCUGUGGAGGUAAGCAGAAUAUGUCAUGUAGCGGUGAAAUGCUUAGAGAUGACAUAGGAUACCGAUUGCGAAGGCAGCUUACUACACAGAUAUUGACGCUCAUGCACGAAAGCGUGGGGAUCAAACAGG